rnacentral:hammerhead_ribozyme from 1 species
CACUGCUGAGGAGUCCCAUACCAGGACGAAACGGCCGUCCAGUGU